rnacentral:rRNA from 1 species
AUUGAACGCUGGCGGCAGGCCUAACACAUGCAAGCCGAGCGGAUGAAGGGAGCUUGCUCCUGGAUUCAGCGGCGGACGGGUGAGUAAUGCCUAGGAAUCUGCCUGGUAGUGGGGGAUAACGUCCGGAAACGGGCGCUAAUACCGCAUACGUCCUGAGGGAGAAAGUGGGGGAUCUUCGGACCUCACGCUAUCAGAUGAGCCUAGGUCGGAUUAGCUAGUUGGUGGGGUAAAGGCCUACCAAGGCGACGAUCCGUAACUGGUCUGAGAGGAUGAUCAGACACACUGGAACUGAGACACGGUCCAGACUCCUACGGGAGGCAGCAGUGGGGAAUAUUGGACAAUGGGCGAAAGCCUGAUCCAGCCAUGCCGCGUGUGUGAAGAAGGUCUUCGGAUUGUAAAGCACUUUAAGUUGGGAGGAAGGGCAGUAAGUUAAUACCUGGCUGUUUUGACGGUACCAACAGAAUAAGCACCGGCUAACUUCGUG